AGAGCAUCGGGGGAGCAGGCCGCAGAGGUGCGCUGAGCCAACCUUGGGCCUGCACUGCCUGGGCCUCCCGGGACCGGUAUUGGCAACAGCACCACGAAUUCUGCCAAGGAGCUCUGAAGAGGUCACGGCAACGAAACGCAGCCUCUAAUCCAGGGUUACUACAAUUCUAAGAAUCUGGUUUCUCCCGUGAAUCCAGUUGAAAAACAUGAAAAUGCAUUUCCCACUGGAUAUCUUGUCAGCCUGAAUUUUCCCCAGCCCCUCAAGGACCCAGAAUUGGGCUUGUGGCACCCCUGAAGCCUUGUGGGCUCCUGGGCCGUCUCUCCUGACAGAACACUGCACUCCCCCCGGACUCUCAGCCCUGCCCCCAGGGACCAGGCUGCAACCUUUCGUGGGGCCUCCCCGACCGCACCCAGUGGGGAACCAGGUCCCGAGGCUCACCAGAGUGCACGUGCGGAGGCUCACACACCCGGAGCUGGUGCGGGCUGGACGCCGUCAGAUGCCACCCUGGGGAAGCCGGGACACGUGGGUGCGGUCACUGCCUGGACCCGGCCCGCAGACCCCACACUACAGAGUCACACCGAUGCAUGGACUUGCAGAAGAAGAGCCACCCAGGCCCUCUGGUUUUGAUCCGGGCGGCCUCUUUACCUCCAGACCUGCCCCAGCUGAGCCUACCUGGGGGAUAGGAUGCGGGGGCGCUGCCGGUGGUCCCCGGGACGGCGGAAACGCUGCGGGCAGGGCUUGGAGCAUCAGGUUCUGCAUGAGGAUCUGGUGCAUCUGGGCGUUCUGCAUCAGCAUCAUCUCCACCAUGUCUGAAAGGAGAGGCAGGCGAGAGGGGCCCCAUGACUCACACACUCCACGCGCAUCACCAGGCCUGGCCCAGCACAAGGCUUUAGGGCUUCGCAGAGGCCGAGACGCACUCAGCGCUCCACCAGCAAGAGGCGCUCCAGGCACAGGCGUCUGGGGAUGGUUCUGAGGUUCUGCAGCUUCUGGGCUGGAGGGUGUGUGUGCCUGGCGGGCUGUUGAGGGUGUCCGGCUGGGCUCCGAGAGGCUGCUCCGCUUCUGCUACAUGCCGGCCCCCGAAAGCUGUGUCCACGUCCUAACCCCCCUGACCUCCGAAUGUGACCUCAUUUAGAAAAUCUUUGCAGACAUAACAAGAAUCUUGAAAUGAGAUCAUCCGGCAUUAUCCAGGCCAUACAUCCAAGACGAGCGUCUUCAUAACAGAGGCAGAGGGAGGCUCGACACAGCAGAGGGGAGGCCGCAUGGAGACGGGGCGGGAAUGGGACCACACGGCCACAAGCCAGGACCACCCGGAGCCGCUGCUGGAUGAGGCAGGAAGGGACCCCCCCACCCCCACCCAAGAGCCUCUGGAGGGAACCUGGCCAUGUGACACCCGGAUUUCAGAAUUCCGGCCUCCAGACAGAGAGCACAUCCCUAUUGUUUUCAGCUCCCAGGCCUGAGGCCCCAGGAAACAAAUCUCUUCACCAGUCCCCGGUACUAUGAAGCAAACACGUUUUCGUCUGUGUGGGAGGUAAACAUGGGUUCUUUCCACAACACUGAGGCCCCUGGAAAUCAGGCAGCCCCCAAGACCAGAGGCAGGCAGGUCCCUAAACCACUCACAUCCCCAGUCAAAAAAGGGGAGGCUGGUGGUGUGGACGGGACUCCUUCAGGGCUGUCCAGGAGCGGGGUACACAGCAGCCUUCCCACUGGAGUGGGCCCCUGUCUCUAGCCUGCCCUCCCUGGGGCUGCUAGCCAAGCCUCCAUAAUCACACCAGCCAAGUCCUUAAAAUACGUCUCUCUCUCUCUCUCUCUCUCUCUCGACGCACCCUGUUGGUUCUGUUUCUCCGGAGACCCUUGAUUAAUAGAUUGUGUCGCAGGCCUGAGAGCAGUGGGGUGGGGGAUGGGGGCACGGAGCCAGGUUCCCACAGCGAGACAGCGGCGGGAGCUCAGGUUCCCUGCAGGAAGAGAAUGUGCAGGGGCUGAGUCUGGCAGCCCCGUUCUGGGUGAAGACCCUUGAGGAGAACCACGUGGGGCUGGGCCUGGCCAGCUCACAUGUCCCCGGAAAGCUUCCCACUGAGCAGAACCAGCCUGUGAAGACUGGAUGAGAGGAAGAUCCAGACAGGGACAAACACAGUGUAACUGCCUCAGGAUAAGGGGCACACGUUGGUGUUAUGGGGAAACACAGUCUUCAGGACAUGGUACCCAGCCACUCUGAUAUCUGUGGCAAAGAUAACACCAGUCCCUAACUCAGAGCUCAUAAAAUCUAUUCCAGGUGGUUCAUAAACCUCAAUGGGAAAAGUAAACCAACUGUAGAAUGUCUUCAUGACCUUGAGCGGAGACACCACAAAGAAAGCGAUUGGCAGUCCGUGUAUCAAAAAGGACCCAUCCAUCAUCCUGGGAUCGAGCCCCACAUCGGGCUCUCUGCUCAGUGGGAAGCCUGCUUCCCUCUCUCUCUCUCUGCAUGCUUGUGGUCUCUCUCUCUGUGUCAAAUAAAUAAAUAAAAUCUUUUUAAAAAACCACUAUGACUGGAGAGCAUGGUCAGCUGAACAAUGGCCCCUGGCAUGUACAUACCCUCAUACCUGGAACCUGUGACCUGAGUUUCUUUACGUGGUGACAGUGAUGUUGCUGAUGUGAUUAGGAAUCUUGGAUUGGGGCGCCUGGGGGCUCAGUCAGUGAAGCAUCUGUCUUCAGCUCAGGUCAUGAUCUGGGGUCCUGGGAAUGAGCCCCGCAUCGGGCUCCUGCUUGUCCCUCUUCCUCUGCCCCCCACUCAUACUCAUACUCUCUCUCAAAUAAAUAGAUAGGAUCUUAAAAAAAAAAAAAAAAGAACUUUGGAUGCAAACAACCCAAUGUCCAUCAACAAAUGAAGGGAUAAAAGACCAUGGUCUAUGCAUACCACGGAGAACUGUUCAGCCUUAGAAAGGCAGGAAAGUCUGCCACCUGCCACCACACGAUGACACUUGAAGACGUUCGUUAUUCCACACGAAAUAAGCCAGCGACAGAGGGACAAAUACUCUAGGAUUCCUCUCCUCAGAGGUGCUUGGAGUCAUCCAAUUCCAAGACAGAGUAGGCGUGUGUGCUGGGGCUGGCAGGAGGGGCCUGGAUGCAAGAUGGAAAGUUCUGAAGAUCCGUCGCUCAACCGUGCGGGCCCGGUUAACACUACUUAAACAAGUUUAAGGUGGGAAAUUUUAUGUGUUUUUACCACAAUUUUUUUAAGAUUUAUGUAUUCACUUGAGGGGGUUGGAGAGAGCACACAUGCACGGGGGUGGGGGAAGGGCAGAGGGAAGGAAUAUCCCAAGAAGACUCCCCACUGAGCAAAGAACCCAGCGUGGGGCUCGAUCUCAUGACCCUGAAGUCGCAACCUGAGCUGAAGCCAGGAGUCGGACGCUUAACUGACUGCAUCACCCAGGUGCCCCUACGACAGUUUUUAAAAUUAAUUAAUUUUUGAAAAAGAAUCCUGAGGUGGGGAGAUUAUCCUGGAUUAUCUGGGUAGACCCAACAUAAUCACAAGGGCCCUCAGGAAGUGGUGAGAGAAAAUAACUAUCAGUUUAGAUCUGAAUGUCCAGCAAAACUGGUAUUUUUUUUAAAAGGGGAAAAAAAAACAUUCGCCAGAAAACAAACACUGAGGAGCUUCAAGAGUCUGUUGUCAAGGAACGUGGGAAGGAUUUAUUUCAAGAUGACAGAAGAUGAUUCCAGAGGGUGGUCUGAAUAUACAAAAGGGUGAGUAGGUUGUCAGGGGUGAUUUCUGGUGUCUAGUUUGGGAAGUUGUUCUGAACGAGGAAAAGUGGGGCACCUGUGGGGUCAUUAAGCCUCUGCUUUCAGCUCGGGUCAUGAUCCCAGGGUCCUGGGAUCGAGCCCCUCAUGGGGCUCCCUGCUCAGCGGGAGUCUGCUUCUCCCUCUCCCACUCCCCUGCUGUUUUCUCUCUCUCACUGUGUCUCUCUCUGUGUCAAAUAAAUAAAUAAACUCUUUUUAAAAAAUAGAAAUGAGGGGCGCCUGGGUGGCUCAGUGGGUUGAGCCUCUGCCUUCGGCUCAGGUUGUGAUCUCAGGGUCCUGGGAUCGAGCCCCACAUCGGGCUCUCUGCUCAGCGGGGAGCUUGCUUCCUCCUCUCUCUCUGCCUGCCCCCCUGCCUACCUGUGAUCUCUGUUAAAUAAAUAAAUAAAAUCUUAAAAAAAAAUAGAAAUGAAAGUGAAGAGCAGCAGUGGCUGGGUGGGAGGUGGGGGGCGAGCGUGUGGCAAGCUCCUCCCACCACCGCAGAGAGGGAGCUCCGGACCCCACGCAUUCAUCUUCCCGGGAAAAUGAAUAAAUGAAUGAUAAGCAGAGUCAGACCUAUAAGUACAGAGAACAGCCUAAUGGUCGCUGGUGGUUGGAGGCGUGUGGGGUCUGGGGAGACAGCGGCGGGUCGGCCGGGUCCAGACAGAGUCAUGGGGCAGCAGGCGUGGCGGAGGGAUGUGGCCUCCGACAAUGCCGGGUGUGCACACAAGCUCCAUGGUGGGUCCACUGCUUCAGAUCUCCUGCUCACCUUUGGAGCUCGUCGGGGUAAGGCGUGGAGUGAGGACUUGAUGCUACGUGGAACAGCAAGACACACACAUACAGACACAGACGGACACAGACGGGCACAUAC